rnacentral:rRNA from 1 species
ACGAACGCUUGCGGCGUGCCUAAGAAAUGCAAGUCGAGCGAGGUUCAGGCUUCGGCCGAAAACCUAGCGGCGAACGGUCGCGUAACACGUAAGCAACCUGCCCUGAAGUGGGGGAUAGCCCUCCGAAAGGAGGAUUAAUACCGCAUGUGGACAGUGGAUCGCAUGUUUCACUGUCUAAAGCAGCAAUGCGCUUCAGGAUGGGCUUGCGGCCUAUCAGCUAGUUGGUGAGGUAACGGCCCACCAAGGCGACGACGGGUAGCUGGUCUGAGAGGACGAUCAGCCGGACUGGGACUGAGAUACGGCCCAGACUCCUACGGGGGGCAGCAAUUAGGAAUCUUGCGCAAUGGGCGAAAGCCUGACGCAGCGACGCCGCGUGACUGAUGAAGUCCUUCGGGAUGUAAAGGUCUUUUAUGGGGGAAGAAGGAUGUGACGGUACCCCAGGAAUAAGCCCCGGCUAACUACGU